rnacentral:tRNA from 1 species
GAGGGUAGACUCAGUGGUAGAGUGCAUGCCUGACACGCAUGAGGUCCUGGGUUCAAUCCCCAAUACCUCCA